rnacentral:rRNA from 1 species
UUCGCAAUGCCCGAAAGGGUGACGAAGCGACGCCGCGUGAGCGAAGAAGGCCUUAGGGUUGUAAAGCUCUGUCGAGGGUUAUGAAAUGUAAACAGGUUAAUACCCUGUUUAUUUGACAAAAGCCCAAGAGGAAGUCACGGCUAACUCUGUGCCAGCAGCCGCGGUAAUACAGAGGUGGCAAGCGUUGUUCGGUAUUAUUGGGCGUAAAGAGCACGUAGGUGGUUUUAUAAGUCAGGUGUGAAAGCCUUCUGUUCAAAGGAAGAACGGCAUCUGAAACUGUAGAUCUUGAGUGUAGGAGGGGAGAGUGGAACUUCUGGUGGAGCGGUGAAAUGCGUAGAUAUCAGAAGGAACGUCGGCGGCGAAAGCGACUCUCUGGCCUAUUACUGACACUGAGGUGCGAAAGUUAGGGGAGCAAACGGGAUUAGAUACCCCGGUAGUCCUAACCGUAAACGAUGGGCACUAAGUAGAGGGGUUUU